rnacentral:rRNA from 1 species
AUUGAACGCUGGCGGCAGGCCUAACACCUGCAAGUCUCACGAGUGGCGGACUGGUGAGUAAUGUAUGGGUAACUGACUGGUGGAGGGGGAUAACUGGUGGAAACGGUAGCUAAUACCGCAUACCAUCAGAUGUGCCAAGAUGGGAUUAGCUAGUUGGUGGGGUAACGGCUCACCAAGGCGACGAUCCCUAGCUGGUCUGAGAGGAUGACCAGCCACACUGGCACUGAGACACGGUCCAGACUCCAACGGGAGGCAGGAGGGGGGAAUAUUGCACAAUGGGCUCAAGCCUGAUGCAUACAUGCCGCGUGUAUGAAGAAGGCCGUCGGGUUGUAAAGUACUUUCAGCGGGGAGGCGUUACCCGCAGAAGAAGCACCGGCUAACGCCGUGCCAGCAGCCGCGGUAAUUC